GACGAACGCUGGCGGCGUGCUUAACACAUGCAAGUCGAACGGAAAGGCCUCUUUCGGGGGGUACUCGAGUGGCGAACGGGUGAGUAACACGUGAGUAACCUGCCCUUGACUUUGGGAUAACUUCAGGAAACUGGGGCUAAUACCGGAUAGGAGCUCCUGCUGCAUGGUGGGGGUUGGAAAGUUUCGGCGGUUGGGGAUGGACUCGCGGCUUAUCAGCUUGUUGGUGGGGUAGUGGCUUACCAAGGCUUUGACGGGUAGCCGGCCUGAGAGGGUGACCGGCCACAUUGGGACUGAGAUACGGCCCAGACUCCGACGGGAGGCAGCAGUGGGGAAUAUUGCACAAUGGGUGGAAGCCUGAUGCAGCAACGCCGUGUGCGGGAUGACGGCCUUCGGGUUGUAAACCGCUUUCGCCCAUGACGAAGCUUUGUGUGACGGUAGUGGGUAAAGAAGCACCGGCUAACUACGUG
rnacentral:rRNA from 1 species